rnacentral:rRNA from 1 species
CGUAAUAGCUCACUGGUCGAGUCGGCCUGCGCGGAAGAUGUAACGGGGCUAAACCAUGCACCGAAGCUGCGGCAGCGACGCUGAUGCGUUGUUGGGUAGGGGAGCGUUCUGUAAGCCUGUGAAGGUGUGUCGUGAGGCAUGCUGGAGGUAUCAGAAGUGCGAAUGCUGACAUAAGUAACGAUAAAGCGGGUGAAAAGCCCGCUCGCCGGAAGACCAAGGGUUCCUGUCCAACGUUAAUCGGGGCAGGGUGAGUCGACCCCUAAGGC